AGAUGAAAGCUUUACUGCAGUUCAAAGUCCUCUGUGCUUCCUCUGAUAAAGGAUGUGUGUGCGCGCACACAUAUGUACACACAAGAUUUUCAGACCCUGGGUCACUGCCUCUGACAGACAUGAUUAUUUCAUGUGAUCGUGUUUUUGAGUCUAGCCUUAAAUGGCAAAAUAAGCAGAAAGAUGACCAGGCAAGGAGCAGAACAAGAGUUGAAUUCAGGGACCUUUGUCAGACUAACAUGCCAGUGAUUUGCCUGGCAGAAUGAUUCAGCAGUAAUCCUGCCAGGGUUCCCAAAGAAAUCCCAAAUCUGGAAUGACGUAAUGUCUCUCCUCCUCUGACGCGGCCGUCUCUCCACCCCCACCACUCCACGCUUGCCAUCUCGAGAGCCACCGUUCCAUCUGUGGAGCCAUCAAUUGCCAUCUGCAUUGUGAUGAAUAUGUAUUUUAUUAUUUCAGUGGUAAUGCCAGGUUAAUAAUUUGAUAGAGAAAUGAAGACUGGAAAAAAAUAUCCUGGUCUCUGGUGAGUUAGGUCUCAACAAAUCAUGAGCGAUGUCUGCAGGAUGCCUCCAGUAUCUCAAAUUGGAUAUUUGAUCUCUGCAUCCCAUGAAUAUUUAUACUUUGAGGGACUGGUAACUCAGAGUGGAAUUUUACUGGGAAUCCAUAUACUGAAGAGAAGAAACAGAUCUUGAAAAGUCUAAAGUCAUCUGGAGCUAAGCUUGAUCUUACCCUUUCCCUUCAAAUCAGUGACAGUUUUGAAUAUUUGAGACUGAGUGAUUGGAUUUCUAGAAUAUCAUUUUUUUUGUCCUGACAGUUGUUACCUUUUGGGGUUUGGGCAAAGUCUCCUGUAUUUCUGCCCUAUGGGCUCCAUAUGGAAAAUUACAACCAAUGCCUACCCUUUAAGAAAAAGUGAAUUGCUUGGUUGGAAGGGGGGGGUAUUUUGAUGAUGAAAAGCACCAGCUAUAUCCAUUGCACCCUGACACACAGAAUCAAGUGAUGAUUUAGCAUAAUUACUGUUGAUUGAGCCUCGCUGUCUUUGUCAAGUGGUUUUUUUGGAGUUCUUCUUUGUAGAACCAUUUAACACUCCAUGUAUUACAGCCUAGGACUGGGGUUAACACUCUGAAUAAAAGUAAGCAUGAAGGA